rnacentral:rRNA from 1 species
UACGUAGGGGGCAAGCGUUGUCCGGAAUUAUUGGGCGUAAAGAGCGUGUAGGCGGUCCGGUAAGUCAGCUGUGAAAGUCAAGGGCUCAACCCUUGAAUGCCGGUUGAUACUGUCGGGCUAGAGUCCGGAAGAGGCGAGUGGAAUUCCCGGUGUAGCGGUGAAAUGCGUAGAUAUCGGGAGGAACAUCAGUGGCGAAGGCGGCUGUCUGGCCCAAUACUGACACUCAGGUGCGACAGCGUGGGGAGCAAACAGG